rnacentral:rRNA from 1 species
UACGUAGGGGGCUAGCGUUGUCCGGAAUCAUUGGGCGUAAAGCGCGUGUAGGCGGUCCGGUAAGUCCGCUGUGAAGGUCGGGGGCUCAACCCUCGAAUGCCGGUGGAUACUGUCGGGCUAGAGUGCGGAAGAGGCGAGUGGAAUUCCCGGUGUAGCGGUGAAAUGCGCAGAUAUCAGGAGGAACACCAAUUGCGAAGGCAGCUCGCUGGGACGUAACUGACGCUGAGACGCGAAAGCGUGGGGAGCAAACAGG